rnacentral:lncRNA from 10 species
AGGGGUAGCAAGGCGGAGCUGUGCCCUGUCACGGCACACAGAGAAUGCCCAUGGAUUUUCACAAAUGCUGUUAAAAUGUGAAAAGAAGGUGUUUCUUUUUUCUUCAAUCUGAGCUUCAAGCUAAUAUGGGCAUUCAGCUAAAUCCCUCCUGGGUCCUGAAACAGUAUGUGGUUUUGGAUUUCAAAGAUAAUCCCUACAACUUCUGGGAGAGGUGCAAGUAUCAACCAGUUGGAGACACAGGGAAAGGGUGAUAUAAUGCAGAAAGUGACUUGAACAAAUUUACACAGAAGGCAGUGAAGUGUGAUUCAAAUUCAAGCAGUCUAGACUGUGCCCCACACAACUCUGCAGCAUAACCUUGCAGUAUGAAAAUAAUGCCUCUCAUGCAGGUAUGCCUUAUUCUUUUUAAGAGCUGCAUAAUAUUCCUUUGCAUGGAUGUAUCAUUGAUUUAUUUUGUUCACUGUUAGUGAUGUCUUAGACUUUUUCCUACAGUUUGCCAUUGUGAGCAAUGUUUCAAUUUUUGAAUAUUUCACCACGCUUUUGAACCCAUACUAACCGCACAUAUUUGUAAAAUCAAUUAAUCAAUUUAUAGUAGUAGAUUUAUAGGCUUUUUAAACACCAAAAGCUAAUUUUCUUCUUACUAGUAGGGAGAUAUGGAUGGGACUUACUGAAACAAGUCAUAUAAUGCAUCUCUAUUCUUGCAGCCAAAUGAAAAUGGCCCCAUCAAAGUGCAAGUGCUC